rnacentral:rRNA from 1 species
GACGUAGGGUGCGAGCGUUGUCCGGAUUUAUUGGGCGUAAAGAGCUCGUAGGCGGCUUGUCGCGUCGACCGUGAAAACUUGGGGCUCAACCCCAAGCCUGCGGUCGAUACGGGCAGGCUAGAGUUCGGUAGGGGAGACUGGAAUUCCUGGUGUAGCGGUGAAAUGCGCAGAUAUCAGGAGGAACACCGGUGGCGAAGGCGGGUCUCUGGGCCAUUACUGACGCUGAGAAGCGAAAGCUGGGGAGCGAACAGG